rnacentral:rRNA from 1 species
UACAGAGGUGGCAAGCGUUGUUCGGAAUUACUGGGCGUAAAGGGCGCGUAGGCGGCCUUGUAAGUCCUGUGUGAAAUCCCCCGGCUCAACUGGGGAACUGCACAGGAGACUGCUUGGCUUGAGUUCGGGAGAGGGAAGCGGAAUUCCGGGUGUAGCGGUGAAAUGCGUAGAUAUCAGGAAGAACACCAAUGGCGAAGGCAGCUCUCUGGGACGGUACUGACGCUGAGACGCGAAAGCGUGGGGAGCGAACAGG